rnacentral:snRNA from 1 species
AACCUUGCGCUGUGACGAUAGCGUGACCAAUGAGGCUCUGCCGAGCUGCGCUUAUUGCUGGUCGAAAACAUUACCGAAUUGCCCGCGUUGGUAGGGAACAAUUCGUCAACGAUGAC